rnacentral:misc_RNA from 1 species
UGAUGAUGUGAGGCUCAAAAAGAGGGACAACUUCUGUCUUGUCUAUUGUUGGUAAGCUGUUAUUCCCUUCAUGUCUUGAAUAGCAAGGGAAUGGUAGUUUGGUGCAUCAACUUUGAGUGCUUUUCAGGCAUGGGAACAGUUGAUUCAUAUUCUUCAUCUUUCCCUUGCUAUUUUUCUGUCAUUGUGAAAGGUUCACAGGAAAGAUAUGAUUUGACAUUGUUUAGCAAUUAGUUGUGUUCACUAGCUUGGCAA